rnacentral:RNase_P_RNA from 1 species
AGAGUUAACCGGGUAGUCGCGAGCAUUGUUAUGCUUGAGGAAGGUCGGGGCUUCACAGGGCAAGGUGCUCAAUUAGAGGCAGGGUGACCUGACGGAAAGUGCAACAGAAAGUAUACCGCACAAUCGAUCGUGCAACUUGUACCAACAAACUAAACGAUCGAUCUGUAAGGGUGAAACGGUGCGGUAAGAGCGCACCAGCGUUUUGAGCAAUCAAAGCGGCUAUGUAAACCCCACCCGAAGCAAGAUCAUAUUGGAACUAGUGGCGGCCCGUCGCGAUGAAUAAAAACUUCGUCGAGUUCCGGGUAGAUCGCUUAGAUGGAUGGCUACCGCGAAUCUCAUGAUUCAAACAGAACCCCGCCUACAGGUUAACUCUGCAC